rnacentral:lncRNA from 1 species
AUUGGCACCGUCUUCCUGUCUUCAUCUCAGUAGUGGUCUGUGCAAGGGGCACAGAGCCCGGAAGAGUCGAGAGCCCAAAACCGCCGGCUGCUGCCCGACGCCCCCAACGCCCUACACAUCCUGGACGGGCCCGAGCAGCGCUAUUUCCUGGGCGUCGUGGAUCUCGCCACAGUCUACGGGCUCCGCAAGCGGCUGGAGCACCUGUGGAAGACACUGCGCUACCCAGGCCGGACCUUCUCCACUGUCAGCCCGGCUCGCUACGCCCGUCGCCUCUGCCAGUGGGUGGAGGCGCACACGGAGUGACGGGCGCCCGGCCCCACUCUCCGGAUCUGGACGAUGGGCUCACGCCAGGAACGCCGGUUCCCCCGGGCCCGGGCAUCUCGCCUGCGCUUCCUCCUGAUGGUCGCCAGAGGGCAGCAUCCCCUAACUAAUACCGUAACCGCGCAGUCCCGUUUGACGGUGGUGCCGUGCCCAGCAUCGUGCCAAGGACUCCCCUACUUUAGCUCAUUUAAUCCUCAAAAAAUGCUAUUAUUCUCUUUUUACAGACCAUGAAAUGGAGGCUCAGGGGGUGAAGGGACUGAUCAAGAUCAUUCAGCAAUAAAUGCUGGAACCAGGACUCAACCAUGGCUUUUGGAUUCCGGAGCCUGUAUUCUUAACCACCAGCUCCUGCAGCUUGGUCCUCAUGAUCUGGGCAAGGGGGGAGGCUGAAGGCUGCAGCCCUCUUGUCAUCCAGAUGGGGAAACUGAGGCCCAGAGACUUUAAGGGGCGUAAGCACGGGUAAGUGGCAAGGUCGGCCCUGAGUACCCAGGCCUCCCGGCCCCCUGCUCCUGGCCUGAUACUCUAGGGAUGCAGGUGGGAGAAGCAGGGGUCCUGGGGGCUGCCUGGAGCUCUGGGAGGCAUUCUGAACGGGGUCUACUACUGAUCUCAGGUGAGCUCUGCCCUCCUCUGAAAGUCACUUUUCUCAUCAGUUAAAUGGGGGCAAGGGUCCGUGGUCCGACCAAGGUCUUGGCUUCACAGACAUCACCAGGAGCCUGCAUGCCCCUGAUCACUCCUUCUCCUUCCUCCAGGAAACUCCAGCCUGGCCUCUGACCCCAGUUCAAUCCGACCAUGCCCAAGCCCAAGCGGGCCUUUCCUCCAGAACUGCUCCGGGGCCUGGCUGUGUGACUGGAGCAAGGUGCUAAACCUCUCUGUGCCUCGCUGGUCUAAUCUGUAAAAUGAAGGAAUGGAAACAGACCUCAUUAACUCAUUAAAUAUUUGUUGAGC